UUAAUUGACCCUAUUUCCGAAAAAUUCAUUCUUUCUUGGGAUGCCUCCCGGUAAAAGACGCGAGUCUCGUGCAGAAGACAAGCUGCGGAGAGGAAGGCACCACUGUGGAAGAGCUCAUCAGCGGUAUGGUGUGCAGUGGUCGCCAGAACAAUGAACAUAGUAGCCCUGAAGUAAGCGAAAGCACGGGAAUCUCUUAAGAUCCACCGCCCGAAGCAGCUGAAGAGGAACCAUCGGCUGUUCGUUCCACAUCCCAGCUACGGCGCAAUGCAACUAAAAGGAGGCGUGGCACCACCUCCUCAGAGCUGCGCACGCUGAAGAAAUGGAGCUGAGAGAGUGCCACUUGAAGCUUCAAGAAAAAAUGUUUGAUGCAAUAGGUACACCUUUUGGUACGCUUAACUAACACCCUUGUGUUG